GGAGGAAAGCAGGGGAUCGCAAGACCUUGCGCUCAUUGAGCGGCCGAUGCCUGAUUAGCUAGUUGGUGAGGUAAAGGCUUACCAAGGCGACGAUCAGUAGCUGGUCUGAGGGGACGACCAGCCACACUGGGACUGAGACACGGCCCAGACUCCUACGGGAGGCAGCAGUGGGGAAUUUUGGACAAUGGGGGAAACCCUGAUCCAGCCAUGCCGCGUGAGUGAAGAAGGCCUUCGGGUUGUAAAGCUCUUUCAGCCGGAACGAAACAGUCACGGAUAAUACCCGUGACUACUGACGGUACCGGAAGAAGAAGCACCGGCUAACUACGUGCCAGCAGCCGCGGUAAUACGUAGGGUGCGAGCGUUAAUCGGAAUUACUGGGCGUAAAGCGUGCGCAGGCGGUUUUGUAAGUCAGAAGAGAAAUCCCCGGGCUUAACCUGGGAACUGCGUUGCUAUAAGGGAGCUAGAAGGGC
rnacentral:rRNA from 1 species